CUGUAAUUCGUAAAACUUGCACGCUGCAUUGUUUUAUGCGGCGUUAGGCGCGUGUUUGCAAUAUGGCCGCGAUUCAAACGUCGUUUUCACGUUCGUAACCACCAAGUUGUAUCAUUACAUAAAUCAAAUCAUGUACUUGCAAUGCGUCUAAUUGGAAUAUUCGGAUGUAAUUUUAUUGUGCAAUCGACUUGAGGUAUGGAGUGAUCGUAGUUUCACCUUCGCGAAGUGUACGCGGCGAAGUUAUCAGCUGUUUGUUUGCUUUUCACAUGUUUCAAACGGUAACUUUGCGGCAGUAGAGUGCCAAUUGUGCAGCACUGCUAACACAAAGAGACGCCAUGUUGUUGUUUUGAUUUUAACAUUCCAACAUUCCAACACCAUUCGGCACUGCUGAUAACACACUCUUAUUUUUAUUUUCUAGCGUUACAUUUAUCAUUUACUUAUUCUUUAGUAUUUUGUUACAUUUUAAUUCUGUUUUAUUUUCUGUUUCUUGCGUGCGACGUUGUUGAUGGUGCAUUACGAUCGGGCUUUCAACCCACUUCUUGAAAACGUUCCUGUUUUCCAUCGCAGAUGACAUUUCAAGGUCACCCACAAGAUGUCCAGAAUUAGUCUUACUUUCCCAGGAAUGGGAAAAGGUUUGAACAUUGCUGUAAUGUUUUUCUAAUAUCUCUAAUAAUUUUUUAAAUUUUCCGUAACUAAUUGUUCUUUCUGCUUGUCUUUCAGGUACAUAUUCGAUAUAUUGGGGCAUUUUUGUAAUUCGGGCGCGUUCGUUUUCGGUUUAGGUAUAAGUGAUAAACGAUAUUCGCGAGAGACCUGGAGAGGUGUAACGAAAUACUCAUCGAGUGCGGGUCGCGACGUGUUUUAAUUUAACCAUUUUAUUGCAUCGCGAUCAAUUAGCUAUCGAAGGAGGGUCGUGCCUUGUCCCCUUUCACCUGUUAGGGAAAGUACGCAGUGUUUAUAAAAUGUAUCCGAAUAUUCGACAAAUCGAGUGCGGAACACGAUUAAAAAUCCGAAAGUAUCUCGUAAUUCGUAUUGCACUAUUAAAAUGCGGGUUAAAAAUAAUUCCAAUUCCAUGAGGGUUUGUACGGGGCCUCAACGGACUGCAAGCAUCCUACCAGCGGUUUGGACUCAAGACUGUAUUAUAAUAUCAACGCCUUAAGUACAAUUACCUUCGAGUUCCGAUGCCCGAGUCACGAGCUAAAUUAGAAUGCGAAUUUGAUUCGCUUCGUCGGUCGACUCCCGAUUUAAAAUAAAAUAAAUAUUGACACCUCUUCCCGCAUUUCCCCUUAACAAUGUAAUUUAUUUCACAGAUUUUAUCAUCUUCAACAAUAGUCUUGAGUGUUGCAACGAGUAAAAUACUGGGAUUUUGCACCUGAGUCUGACAUCGUAGAAGGACCAUUCUUGUAUCAGAUUGGAGUUUGCAUCUGAGUCUGACAUCGUAGAAGGACCAUUUUUGCAUCAGAUUGGAUUUUGCACCUGAGUCUGACAUCGUAGAAGGACCAUUCUUGCAUCAGAUUGGAUUUUGCACCUGAGUCUGGCAUCGUAGAAGGACCAUUCUGGAAUCAGAUUGGAUUUUGCACCUGACUCUAGCAUCGUAAAAGAACCAUUCUUGCAUCAGAUUGU